rnacentral:rRNA from 1 species
AUGGGGAAACCCAGCAUGAGUUAUGUCAUGUUAUCGAUAUGUGAAUACAUAGCAUAUCAGAAGGCACACCCGGAGAACUGAAACAUCUUAGUACCCGGAGGAAGAGAAAGAAAAUUCGAUUCCCUUAGUAGCGGCGAGCGAAACGGGAAGAGCCCAAACCAACAAGCUUGCUUGUUGGGGUUGUAGGACACUCUAUACGGAGUUACAAAGGACGACAUUAGACGAAUCAUCUGGAAAGAUGAAUCAAAGAAGGUAAUAAUCCUGUAGUCGAAAAUGUUGUCUCUCUUGAGUGGAUCCUGAGUACGACGGAGCACGUGAAAUUCCGUCGGAAUCUGGGAGGACCAUCUCCUAAGGCUAAAUACUCUCUAGUGACCGAUAGUGAACCAGUACCGUGAGGGAAAGGUGAAAAGCACCCCGGAAGGGGAGUGAAAUAGAACCUGAAACCGUGUGCUUACAAGUAGUCAGAGCCCGUUAAUGGGUGAUGGCGUGCCUUUUGUAGAAUGAACCGGCGAGUUACGAUUUGAUGCAAGGUUAAGCAGUAAAUGUGGAGCCGUAGCGAAAGCGAGUCUGAAUAGGGCGUUUAGUAUUUGGUCGUAGACCCGAAACCAGGUGAUCUACCCUUGGUCAGGUUGAAGUUCAGGUAACACUGAAUGGAGGACCGAACCGACUUACGUUGAAAAGUGAGCGGAUGAACUGAGGGUAGCGGAGAAAUUCCAAUCGAACCUGGAGAUAGCUGGUUCUCUCCGAAAUAGCUUUAGGGCUAGCCUCAAGUGAUGAUUAUUGGAGGUAGAGCACUGUUUGGACGAGGGGCCCCUCUCGGGUUACCGAAUUCAGACAAACUCCGAAUGCCAAUUAAUUUAACUUGGGAGUCAGAACAUGGGUGAUAAGGUCCGUGUUCGAAAGGGAAACAGCCCAGACCACCAGCUAAGGUCCCAAAAUAUAUGUUAAGUGGAAAAGGAUGUGGCGUUGCCCAGACAACUAGGAUGUUGGCUUAGAAGCAGCCAUCAUUUAAAGAGUGCGUAAUAGCUCACUAGUCGAGUGACACUGCGCCGAAAAUGUACCGGGGCUAAACAUAUUACCGAAGCUGUGGAUUGUCCUUUGGACAAUGGUAGGAGAGCGUUCU